AGGCAGCAGUAGGGAAUUUUCGUCAAUGGGCGCAAGCCUGAACGAGCGAUGCCGCGUGAGUGAAGAAGGCCUUCGGGUCGUAAAGCUCUGUUGGCGGGGGGAAAAAAGGCAGCAUCAGGAAAUGGGGUGCUGACUGAUGGUGCCCCCGCCAGAAAGUCACGGCUAACUACGUGCC
rnacentral:rRNA from 1 species